rnacentral:rRNA from 1 species
UGGGGAAUAUUGCACAAUGGAGGGAACUCUGAUGCAGCGACGCCGCGUGAACGAAGAAGGCUUUCGAGUCGUAAAGCUCUUUUAUAUGGGAAGAUAAUGACGGUACCAUAAGAAAAAGCCCCGGCUAACUACGUGCCAGCAGCCGCGGUAAUACGUAGGGGGCUAGCGUUGUCCGGAAUCACUGGGCGUAAAGGGUUCGCAGGCGGAAAUGCAAGUCAGGUGUAAAAGGCAGUAGCUUAACUACUGUAAGCAUUUGAAACUGCAUAUCUUGAGAAGAGUAGAGGUAAGUGGAGUUUUUAGUGUAGCGGUGAAAUGCGUGGAUAUUAAAAAGAAUACCGGUGGCGAAGGCGACUUACUGGGCUCAUUCUGACGCUGAGGAACGAAAGCGUGGGUAGCAAACAGG